UUUGAAUCAAAUUUAUCACAA
ensembl:piRNA 21ur-12724 ncRNA